AGGUUACUGCUAUCGGUGUUCGCCUAAGCCAUGCGAGUCAUAUGUUCUUCGUGAACAUGGCGUACUGCUCAGUAACACGUGGAUAACCUGCCCGUGGGUCCGGCAUAACCCCGGGAAACUGGGGAUAAUUCCGGAUAACGCACAUAUGCUGGAAUGCUUUAUGCGUCAAAUGGAUUCGUCCGCCCAAGGAUGGGUCUGCGGCCUAUCAGGUAGUAGUGGGUGUAAUGUACCUACUAGCCUACGACGGGUACGGGUUGUGAGAGCAAGAGCCCGGAGAUGGAUUCUGAGACAUGAAUCCAGGCCCUACGGGGCGCAGCAGGCGCGAAAACUUUACAAUGCGGGAAACCGUGAUAAGGGGACACCGAGUGCCAGCAUCAUAUGCUGGCUGUCCGGGUGUGUAAAAUACACCUGUUAGCAAGGGCCGGGCAAGACCGGUGCCAGCCGCCGCGGUAACACCGGCGGCCCGAGUGGUGAUCGUGAUUAUUGGGUCUAAAGGGUCCGUAGCCGGUUUGGUCAGUCCUCCGGGAAAUCUGACGGCUUAACCGUUAGGCUUUCGGGGGAUACUGCCAGACUUGGAACCGGGAGAGGUAAGAGGUACUACAGGGGUAGGAGUGAAAUCUUGUAAUCCCUGUGGGACCACCUGUGGCGAAGGCGUCUUACCAGAACGGGUUCGACGGUGAGGGACGAAAGCUGGGGGCACGAACCGGAUUAGAUACCCGGGUAGUCCCAGCCGUAAACGAUGCUCGCUAGGUGUCAGGCAUGGCGCGACCGUGUCUGGUGCCGCAGGGAAGCCGUGAAGCGAGCCACCUGGGAAGUACGGCCGCAAGGCUGAAACUUAA
rnacentral:rRNA from 1 species